GAUGAACGCUGGCGGCGUGCCUAAAACAUGCAAGUCGUGCGGCAGCGGGCCUUCGGGUGCCGGCGAGCGGCGGACGGGUGAGUAACGCGUAGGAACGUACCCCAAAGUGAGGGAUAAGCUCCGGAAACGGAGUCUAAUACCGCAUAUGCUCUUGGGAGGAAAGGAGUAAUCCGCUCUGGGAGCGGCCUGCGUCCGAUUAGUUUGUUGGUGAGGUAAUGGCUUACCAAGACGAUGAUCGGUAGCUGGUUUGAGAGGAUGAUCAGCCACACUGGGACUGAGACACGGCCCAGACUCCUACGGGAGGCAGCAGUUAGGAAUUUUCCACAAUGGGGGCAACCCUGAUGGAGCAACGCCGCGUGCAGGAAGACGGCCUUCGGGUUGUAAACUGCUUUUAAAAGUGAAGAUUAUGACGGUAACUUUAGAAUAAGGAUCGGCUAACUCCGUGCCAGCAGCCGCAGUAA
rnacentral:rRNA from 1 species